rnacentral:rRNA from 1 species
GAUGAACGCUGGCGGCGUGCUUAACACAUGCAAGUCGAACGAAGCUGUUAGAAGGAAGUCUUCGGAUGGAAUUUUAACAGACUUAGUGGCGGACGGGUGAGUAACGCGUGGAUAACCUGCCUUAUACAGGGGGAUAACGGAGAGAAAUUUCCGCUAAGACCGCAUAAGACCACAGCACCGCAUGGUGCAGGGGUAAAAUAUUAAUAGGUAUAAGAUGGAUCCGCGUCCGAUUAGCUUGUUGGUGAGGUAGAGGCUCACCAAGGCGACGAUCGGUAGCCGGCCUGAGAGGGUGAACGGCCACAUUGGGACUGAGACACGGCCCAAACUCCUACGGGAGGCAGCAGUGGGGAAUAUUGGACAAUGGGGGAAACCCUGAUCCAGCGACGCCGCGUGAGUGAAGAAGUAUUUCGGUAUGUAAAGCUCUAUCAGCAGGGAAGAAAAUGACGUACCUGAUAAGAGCCCG